CAGAGAUGCUUUGGUGCCUUUCGGGAACUCUGAGACAGGUGCUGCAUGGCUGUCGUCAGCUCGUGUUGUGAAAUGUUGGGUUAAGUCCCGCAACGAGCGCAACCCUUAUCCUUUGUUGCCAGCGGCUCGGCCGGGAACUCAAAGGAGACUGCCGGUGAUAAGCCGGAGGAAGGUGGGGAUGACGUCAAGUCAUCAUGGCCCUUACGGCCAGGGCUACACACGUGCUACAAUGGCGCAUACAAAGAGAAGCGACCUCGCGAGAGCAGGCGGACCUCAUAAAGUGCGUCGUAGUCCGGAUUGGAGUCUGCAACUCGACUCCAUGAAGUCGGAAUCGCUAGUAAUCGUAGAUCAGAAUGCUACGGUGAAUACGUUCCCGGGCCUUGUACACACCGCCCGUCACACCAUGGGAGUGGGUUGCAAAAGAAGUAGGUAGCUUAACCUUCGGGAGGGCGCUUACCACUUUGUGAUUCAUGACUGGGGUGAAGUCGUAACAAGGUAAGCGUAGCGAG
rnacentral:rRNA from 1 species